GUCUUGGUGGUGUAACUGGAAGCACAUUCGAUUCGUAUUCGGGAGAUCCGAAGUUCGAAUCCCGGCGAAGGCA
rnacentral:tRNA from 1 species